rnacentral:misc_RNA from 1 species
UGAUUUGUUAUACAUUGUGAAUGUUUUUAUUCAUUAUGAAUUUUGAGAAUGUUGUGUCGCCUAUUUUACAAUGGAAAUUUGGAAUGAAAAUUAAUUAUUGAUUUGUAUGAAAUAUUUGAACAAUAUGGUUUUGAAUUUAGUUAUGGCUUUGAAAAUCUUAUUGGAAAAAUAGUGUGUUGCCUACCUUGUAAUGAAAAGUUUAGAAUGAAACAUGAUUUGUGAAUUGUAUAAAAUAUUUGAAUAACUUGAUUUAAAUUGUUUUUAAUUCACACUUGGCAUGACAGUAUUAAUAUGUUCCUCCUCCACUUGUGGGGUGAGUUUGAUAUUUGAUCAAUUUCCUCCCUCUCUGGCUUCCCAGUUUGAGGGGCGAGUUUGGACGAGUACUCAUUAGCUAGCUAGCCA